rnacentral:rRNA from 1 species
UACAGAGGGUGCAAGCGUUAAUCGGAAUUACUGGGCGUAAAGCGUGCGUAGUCGGUUAUUCAAGUCGGGUGUGAAAGCCCCGGGCUCAACCUGGGAAUUGCAUUUGAUACUGUUUAGCUAGAGUUCGGCAGAGGGAAGUGGAAUUUCGGGUGUAGCGGUGAAAUGCGUAGAUAUCCGAAGGAACAUCAGUGGCGAAGGCGACUUCCUGGAUCAGAACUGACGAUCAGGCACGAAAGCGUGGGGAGCAAACAGA